AAGAGACUCUUGAGAGCUCCCAACACCUCUCUCUCUCCCUCUUUGCCAUAUGAGGACAUCCCAUUGAGAAGGGUCUUCUCUAUUUUCCGAUGGUUAAAUGAUGGCAUCAUACCAAGGGAGAGAGGAGAUGGAGAUUUCUAACCACGACUCAUUUUGCCUCUGAGGCCACAGGGCUUCUUGCUAAUAAUAAAGGCUGCUAACCCAUCACAACCCUGCGGAUUUCAGUGCUGAUGAGUAAAAGGGAAAAACGACACCUGCGUCAUAGGCAGUGGCUAAUGAGACAGGAGAAUCGCAGCCAGUGAAGGAGACAGCUUCAGUGAGCAGCAGCCUGUGAGUGUGCAUUUCUAAGGAAUCCAAACAACUCUGUGGCAGCCAGGAAGUCCACUCGCAACAGCUCUAACCGUUCCCUUCAAGAAAGCCGAACACUCACGGAGCAAAACUGGACCCACGUAUGGAAAUGAGUCUGUGAUGAAUACCAGGCCUCAGUACAUGCACUCCUUGGAGCCAUGGAUUGGAUCUUGCAUUCCAGUGGGUUCACUGACACCAGCCAAUCUGAAGACUCUCUCUGA
ensembl:lncRNA